GGUUGGACGAGAUAUAAGCUGUUUCAUUUAAAAUUUAAUUAGAAUUUUAUUUUUUAGUUAAAAAGCUAAAAUAUAUUCAAAAGACGAGAAGACCCUAUAAAUCUUGAUUAUUUAAUAAUUUUUAGUUUAUUUUGAUUUUUUUUGUUAUAAAUUUAUUAAUUAAUUUUAUUGGGGUGAUAUUAAAAUUUAAAUAACUUUUAAUAAUUUUUAUCAUUUAUUUAUGAUUAAGUGAUCCAUUAUUAGUGAUUAAAAAAUUAAGUUACUUUAGGGAUAACAGCGUAAUUUUUUUGGAGAGUUCUUAUCGAUAAAAAAGUUUGCGACCUCGAUGUUGGAUUAAGAUUCAUAUUUAAAUGUAGAAGUUUAAAUAUAAAGUCUGUUCGACUUUUUAUUCUUACAUGAUCUGAGUUCAAACCGGUGUAAGCCAGGUUGGUUUCUAUCUUUGACUUAGUAAAAUAUUUUAGUACGAAAGGAAUUAAUAUUUAUUUUUUAAAAAUUAAUUUAUGAAUAAAUUUAAUUACUAU
rnacentral:rRNA from 1 species